rnacentral:rRNA from 1 species
GUGCCAGCAGCUGCGGUAAUACGAAGGGUGCAAGCGUUACUCGGAAUUACUGGGCGUAAAGCGUGCGUAGGUGGUUGUUUAAGUCUGUUGUGAAAGCCCUGGGCUCAACCUGGGAAUUGCAGUGGAUACUGGGCAACUAGAAUGUGGUAGAGGGUAGCGGAAUUCCUGGUGUAGCAGUGAAAUGCGUAGAGAUCAGGAGGAACAUCCGUGGCCGAAGGCGGCUACCGUGGACCAACAUUGACACUGAGGCACGAAAGCGUGGGAGCAAAC